rnacentral:rRNA from 1 species
CAAUGGGGGAACCCUGAUGCAGCGACGCCGCGUGAAGGAUGAAGUAUUUCCGUAUGUAAACUUCUAUCAGCAGGGNAAGAAGAUGACGGUACCUGACUAAGAAGCCCCGGCUAACUACGUGCCAGCAGCCGCGGUAAUACGUAGGGGGCAAGCGUUAUCCGGAUUUACUGGGUGUAAAGGGAGCGUAGACGGCGAUGCAAGCCAGAUGUGAAAGCCCGGGGCUCAACCCCGGGACUGCAUUUGGAACUGCGUGGCUGGAGUGUCGGAGAGGCAGGCGGAAUUCCUAGUGUAGCGGUGAAAUGCGUAGAUAUUAGGAGGAACACCAGUGGCGAAGGCGGCCUGCUGGACGAUGACUGACGUUGAGGCUCGAAAGCGUGGGGAGCAAACAGGAUUAGAUACCCUGGUAGUCCAAGGGCGAAUUC